rnacentral:tRNA from 1 species
GCCUGGUUGGUUCAGUUGGUAGAACAUGUGACUCUUAAUCCUGAGGUCGUGAGUUCAACCCCCACACUGGGUA